AAAUAAAAAAAAAAAUCUGUCGUCGAGGGAGCCUUAUCGUUUUACUACGCUCUCUUGGACUCAGUUCAGUUUCACGACCGAUCCUACAAUGGCGACAGUCACGUUUUCCUUUUCCGCUAAAACCCUAACUCUACCUUAUCACCCCAAAACCCCAAUCUCCAACUUUACCCCGGUAACGAAUCUUCGCCUCCCUCCUUCUAUCGUGACCCGAACCCGCAAUUGUAACCGGAUUCGGGCGGCGCUGGAUGGGGAUUUCUCGGCGAAAAGGAGCAGCAGCAGCAACAACAACGACCAGAGGGAGACGAUAAUGUUACCUGGUUGUGACUACAACCAUUGGCUGAUUGUGAUGGAGUUUCCAAAGGACCCUGCACCCACCCGUGAACAGAUGAUUGACACGUACCUCGACACUCUUGCCACUGUCUUGGGAAGCAUGGAGGAAGCUAAAAAGAACAUGUAUGCCUUUAGCACCACCACUUACACUGGAUUUCAGUGCACUGUUGAUGAAGCAACCUCCGAGAAAUUCAAGGGUUUGCCUGGGGUUCUUUGGGUACUGCCAGACUCCUAUAUAGAUGUUAAGAAUAAAGACUACGGAGGUGACAAGUACAUAAAUGGGGAGAUUAUUCCUUGUAAGUACCCUACCUACCAACCGAAACGUAGCGCACCAAAGAAUGAGAGUAGAAGGUAUGAGAGACGGAGAGAUGGCCCUCCCCCUGACCGCAGAAGGCCAAGACAAGAGGCCGCUGCCUCCGAUUCAUCCUCUACAUGAGCCUUGCAGGUGAGUUUCAGUUUUGCUGAUAGUAACUAAUGCCAAGUGAAAGCUGCUCCUUAUCACAGCUCUAUCAUGCUCAUGGUCAUUUUAUCAAAUAGAAGAUUGAACUUGGGUUGAAUUCUCAUCAGAUGCAUACAAUGUUUCUUGCAAGCUCAAACUGGUAUUUUCACAAUUCAUCUUGAGGAAUAUGUGCUUUUGGACUAUGAGUAUGACAUGUGGGACAAUUGUUAGGUUUAUUUGUCUGUGUAAUUUGGAGAGCUACUUAUCGUGCAACCAGUUUGUUUUCGUGAUAACUUUUUCUGCAAGUUUCAUGGCAGCUACAAUAUUAACACAUAAAGUGACUGAUAUGAACUGUACAAGUUUAGAUAAUAUGCAUAUAUAGCCUUUUGUCAUUAUCUUAA